CUAUGCACGUAUAUAUGUACGUAUACUUGUCGCGUUCGAAUACCGCUAACCUGCGAGUCCAUAAAAUCUGAUACAGUCAAUAGUCCAUCUUCUACGUGGGAUGCCAUGCCGAAUCUCGCGUUUUCGAACGUUUUCUAAAGUUUCGGCAAACAUUUGUGCGUAUAUCGUAAGUAGAAGAAGAAAAUUGGCAGAAGCACGCACUAGCUACUAAGUCAUUGACGACUACUAUCGUGUUAAACGACGCACACGUGUAUUCUCGUUUUGCUAGAGAGAAGGCUGCAUUGUGGUACUCACGCUCAAGGCUCUAACAGUCUGUGGCGCAUGGACCUCUCUUAUCACCACUGAGACUAUUGGUAGUCUAACGUGUCAGUACCUGCUACCUCCACGUACAAGAUGCCGAGCGAAAACCGACCGAAAACCGACCGGGAUUCCAACAGCUUUUAUUUAUUGAAAUGAAUUGUCAUGUAACGAUUGAAGGAACGCAGCAUGGUUUAAUAAUCUGCUUAGAACAGCACACUGAAAUAGCGAAACGUACAGUAUAAGAUUCCUUAUGAAUUGCAAAAAGUCAUGGAAAGGAUCGGUGUGUGUGUGUAUGUAUAUAUAUAUAUAUAUAUAUCGGUGUAUAAAAUGACAAGUCAAUGAAAAUACUACAUCGCCUUUAAAAUUUCAAAUUUCGCCAUCAACUUUCUAACCCAGCCAAUAUUAACUUCGAAAUCAUUGUAGCCCUAAUUAAUGAAACGAAGCGUAAUAUCGUCAAGAAUAUCAGUAGGAUUUUUCGUUUCGAAAUUUUCUUACGCAUUUCAGGUUGGGUGAAAGUAGUGCAACGAGUGAAAGUCAAAGCUACAACAUCGAGCCUUUGGAAGUACAUAAAAAUGAUUGCACGAAACGAAAAGAAGUUUAACGUAAUAUUUAAAGAGCAAUCGUUUCUAAAAGCCUCGAGAUAUUUGCAACACUUGGAAAAUCGAUUUUUCACUUUUCUUACGUACUGUGCAAUAAUCUUGGUGGAUAACGUAAUUCGCCACUUUUUGCGUGUACAUUCCGCGGAUGAAACAGGUGCCUGUUAUGCCAUGUUUAGAUAUUAGCGCAUCAGCAAUUGCUGUGUACAGUGACCGCGAGAACUCAUAAAGCGACCAAGUCAGACGUUGUGUCAUUAAGGCCAUGUUUGUAAUAAUCACCUCGAGAAUGGUCGAAUAUUAGAUAAAUAAAUAACGCGUUAGCUGCGUGUAUAUUAGCGUAUAUAGGGUGUUUCGUGCGACAGAAGCUGCGUUUUUUUUUUCUUUUUUUACAAUUAAUAGAGAUAUAAGAAGAUUUUAGAAAAGAGAAUUAAAUCAAGUAGCGAACAUCAGCUAAAUAUAUACUUGCUAUUACUUUCGUUUUAUUAUUUUUGUUACUUCCAUUACUUCUGGCAUAACGCUAUCUUUUACUUUCACUCCCGUAUCAUGGAUAAGAGUAGCUAACUUCUUCACGCACUUUUUUUCUUUAUUACACAUUAACGACCAAAGAUUCUCAUCGGGUUCGCAACUUCCAAACGAAUUUUUCGAAUUAACGAUCAUAAGGCUAUCGACUAAAUGACAGAAAAUCACCCGAAGAAACGGUGUAUAUUCUGUUUACGUGAUACAAUUCUAAAAUAUGAUAAUUCUACGAAAAUAUAUUACCUUUAAAUUUUCCUUAAACUUCGCCGCAUAAUUUUUAAACGAACCGAUAUAUCUACCAAAAUUAAUAUUUCCCAGCGAAUCGCGUUUCCGAAAGAAGCGAGAUAAAGGAAAGGAAAGGAAAGGAAAGGAAAGGAAAGGAA